UAAGCGCCUUACAUUUUUAAAGUCUUCUCUCUCUUUGGGCAGACAGCUUAAAAUGGAUGAGACGAGAUGUCUGCAACACCAUUGUCAACAGUGAAUCAGAUUUAAUAUGUCUAAAUUACGUAUUUGUAUACGCGAAGUGUGCCAGUGGAAAAAUGUUAUAUAUUGUGUCAAAUUAAUUUCAUGUACAAGCACAGGCACAAUUGUGUGUUCCCGUGGACUCCGGCUUGCUCGAUAUGACGCAUGGUGUACAAGUAUUAAGUGUGCGAAAGGAGGCUCAUGGCACCUGGAACAUGUUAAGUGCCACUUAUUAAAACGUCAAUCACUCACUCCCGUUUUGUUUGCCCGCCUCGAGAGCUCACCGCAGCCUCCUGUACUACCCAAAGCGACACUCAAAGGUUGACAAUGAGACAAGCGGCGUAUGUUGAAACAGUUUACCAAAUGGCCACAUACAAAAGGAGGCCUUCGAUCGAUGAAAGCGGCCCAGGAUCUAGAGGAGUGUUCGAGCACUUUGGUCGGUAACUACAAAACCCGGCGAAGCGGCUGUUAUCAUUGAACAUUGAACAUUGCUGGCAUUUUGGACCUUUGGCCCUGGCCGCUGUCUUGAUGCAGAGAAUCUCACGUUGGAAAAGAUUUGGUUACAAUGGACAAUUUUAAUCUCGAAGAAGCUGUUCAAGCAUAAAGCAGAAGCCCGAGCUUGAAUUAGAGAAGGAAAAAUAUUAAAAGAAAUGUGAUAACGAAUA